UAAGGUCAAGUAGAAAAGGGCGCACGGUGAAUGCCUAGGCACUAACAGCCGAAGAAGGACGUGACGAACUACGAAAAGCUUCGGGGAGCGGUAAGUACGCAGUGAUCCGGAGAUAUCCGAAUGGGGGAACCCAAUGCAGAGAUGCAUUAUUGAUUAGUGAAUAGAUAGCUAAUCAAAGGAAGACGCAGUGAACUGAAACAUCUAAGUAGCUGCAGGAAGAGAAAGAAAGAUCGAUU
rnacentral:rRNA from 1 species